GUCCUCGGGCGCAGCGGCGGUGGCAGCAGCGGCGCCCCUCUGGGUGACUUGGCCGUGAGAAAGUGAAAGGAGCCCGCAGGCGGCGGCGACAGCUGCGCUGGGAGGGGCUUGUUUCCAGGCUCAGAGGCCCCGCGCACUCUGCGGGUGCGGAGCGAGCUUUUCGGUGUGCACUGUGACAACCACAAACACACUUUUGAACGUAGUGGGGCUUGGCUGCUGCGAGUUACGCAGCCACAACUUUAAACUACCGAGGGACGAUGUAAGACUGCUGUGUCGCUUUUCUUUCCUUCAAAUAAACUUUUACUCGGUACCUGUUCUUGGCAAUUAGACUGCGUUAAUCACAGCCACAAAGACGUGGAAAUGUCUGCCGUCAAGAAAUUGGAAAUCGUAUCGAGGCAAGAAUUACAAGUAAAAAGUUGAAUAACAAGUGGUGGGGGAGGGGGAAUGGCUGAAGAAAAUAAAAUAGAAAAAAAAACCCAGACUGGCAAGCCUGUUGCUAACCAACCUGCCAGGAGACCUUUCAACUGGGCAAAAUGUGC
rnacentral:lncRNA from 1 species